GAUGAACGCUAGCGGCAGGCUUAAUACAUGCAAGUCGAGCGGUAGGUGGCUUCGGCCAUUGAGAGCGGCGCACGGGUGAGUAACGCGUACAUGACCUGCCUGUCAGAAGGGGAUAGCCCUGGGAAACUGGGAUUAAUACCCUAUGGUAUUGAUAUUAUGAAUGAUAUCAAUUAAAGUUGAGGCGCUGACAGAUGGAUGUGCGUCUGAUUAGCUAGUUGGUAGGGUAACGGCCUACCAAGGCGACGAUCAGUAGGGGGCGUGAGAGCGUGGUCCCCCACACGGGUACGUGAGACACGGACCCGACUCCUACGGGAGGCAGCAGUAAGGAAUAUUGGUCAAUGCCCGCAAGGUGACCAGCAUUCGCGUGGAGGA
rnacentral:rRNA from 1 species